GUUGCUUCUUGGCUCCUUAAAGCUAAGAUCAAACAUAGUGUCUGUUAUUACCAGUUUAAUAACUGGUAGGAUGCUAACAUCCUUGAACCAUUUUAAGGUUGGGCCCCAGCUAUUACUACAGCAGCAUACCUCCAGGAGUAGAGACAGCCCAGCUGCUGAUGGAACAGCUGUAGCAGCUGGCUGAACUGCU